GAUGAACGCUGGCGGCAUGCCUAAGACAUGCAAGUCGAACGGAAUGGCCUAGUGAAGACGAGUGCUUGCACGAAGUUGGAACUAGAUUCCCAUUCAGUGGCAGACGGGUGAGUAACACGUGGGUAAUCUACCCUAGAGACUGGGACAACAGUUGGAAACGACUGCUAAUACCGGAUAAUUCAUUUUUACAAAAGUAGAAAUGCUAAAAGGAGCCUUUAAAGCUUCACUCUAGGAUGAGCUUGCGGCGCAUUAGCUAGUUGGUAGGGUAAUGGCCUACCAAGGCAACGAUGCGUAUCCGAGCUGAGAGGCUGAUCGGACACACUGGGGACUGAGACACGGCCCAGACUCCUACGGGAGACAGCAGUUAGGAAUAUUCGUCAAUGGGGGGAAAACCCCUGAACGAGCAAUA
rnacentral:rRNA from 1 species